UUCCUUCAAAGUUCCAAAGUGGAUGAAGACUACUGGCUUUCCAGGAAUCCUCCAGGUCUUCAGCACCAGCUCAGUCUGCUGAGGCCAGCCUUGGGGACAGAGCAUCUACCAAGUUCUUCAGCCUCUCCAGUGUGAGACAGCACUGCUGGACCACCCAGACCGUAUUGUGGAUCUGUGGAUGGCCUUCUGGGCAUGGCAGCUGAAGACUGAUGAGGCCCUGACUCCUUGGCCCCCACCUCCUCGAUGACCAUCACCAUGGAGGAGCCCAGGGUAACAGCAACAGUGGCAGGACUGUAUCCUGGAAAUUACUCAGUCCCCGGAAAAGCAUGGGCAACAGACAAGCAUGGGGCACCCUGGAAAAGAGGGGUGGAGCCAGCCAACCUGCUGCGGAGAGUUAGCCAAGCCACUGUGAGAUAGGGUGCGGCCUUUUUGGGAACUCCUGGGAGUGAGCUGUAUGGCCUGAGAAUGACGAGAAUGGUGAGAAUGGCCAGCGGACACCCUGCCUGUCCUGCAGGCUCUGCAAGGUGAGAUGAAGCAGACUGUGGAGAUGGCACAUGGGCACGUGGUGUGAAAGCGAUUGGGAAUGAUGGGGUGUGGGGGUUAUGAGGAGCUGUUUCUUUGUAAGUCAUCCCCUCCCAAAGUUAUA